CCAAAGGCUAGAGUACGAAGGUUUUGGAGCAGAGGGACUUUAGAGCUGUGAUUUGAGUCGGGGGAACGUUCGCAAAGUGUUUUCGAAAGGCUAGCUAAGGAGAAAACCAAGUUGCUGUUAUGCCGGUGGAGCAAGCUUUAGAUGGAGGAUCGACGGAAGCUUAGUUAUAAGAAAGAGCCUUAUAAUUUUAGUCUAUGUUUUAAGUGUGAACUGUAUUUUCGUUUGAAUAUGAGUGAGGGUUUGUAUAAUAAUGAGGAAAAUUAUUAUUCCUCUUCCUAUCAACUGUUCUAUUGUAUCAAUGAUGUAAGAACUCUAUUAUAAUUUAAUGCUAUAAUAAUUGGGAUGUUACA
rnacentral:sRNA from 1 species